rnacentral:rRNA from 1 species
UACGUAGGGCGCAAGCGUUGUCCGGAAUUAUUGGGCGUAAAGAGCUCGUAGGCGGUCUGUUACGUCCGCUGUGAAAACCCAGGGCUUAACCCUGGGCUUGCAGUGGAUACGGGUAGACUAGAGGCAGGUAGGGGAGAAUGGAAUUCCCGGUGUAGCGGUGAAAUGCGCAGAUAUCGGGAGGAACACCGGUGGCGAAGGCGGUUCUCUGGGCCUGUACUGACGCUGCGGAGCGAAAGCGUGGGGAGCGAACAGG